rnacentral:lncRNA from 1 species
CUCCCCUCUUGGAGAAAGUAAGCAAUGUAAUCUGGAUUACAAAUGUUAUAGUGCAAAUAUACUUACACAUUGUUUAUUGUUAUAAAAGAAUACUGGUAUAAAACCCCAAACCCCAAAAUAAAACCAUAAAUAAACAAAUGUGAGAAACAAAAUGUUUACAAAGGCCUUCUUGCAGAAGGUGGAUUUUAUCUGAGAACUAAAGGAAGCCAAGGAAGCUAGGAACAAGAUCAUUUUGUCAUUUUAUUUAUAGUCACAGCGCUUUGCCUGGGUUUGACCCAUAGAAAGCAAUUAAUAAGCUUUUCAUUCCUUCCUUCCUAGAAAUUUAUUUUUACUGUUUUCUAGGUGAUCCUGAUUUUUUAAAAGUCCAUCAAUGAAGGAACAAGGUUUUAGGGUAUAGCUACAGGAAUUCAGGACCAAGAUCAUCAGUUUCUGUUCCCCCUCAUUCUUCAGUGAAGCUUCAGGGCAACCUGCAUGGAUUUUAAGCUAGGAUAUGAGGAGGGAAAAUGCUUGUUCCCUGCCUUACUCAUCACUUGUGCCAUAGUCAGCCAUAGAUACAACACUCAUCAUCACUGUUUUCCAACUGAAUGUGCAAUAGAAAGAGGUCCUCCUUCUGGUUAUGCGGUAUGACUAAGGGAGAGUGUCGGCCUCCCUCUGGGCCUCAGUUUCCUCAUCUGUACAAUCAGACAGUUGGCAUGGAUUGACCUAUGAGGUCUCUUCUACUUCUAGAUUUAAGAUUUUAUGACGAUUUCUAACAACGGGAAGAAACUGGCGUCCAGAGCAUGAAGCAGAUUAAAUCUGGGGUCCCGGUUAGGAGAGAGCCUCAAAUUAGGGGCUAAAGGAAGGGCCUCGACAGGCCAUCCAGAGAGUGAUUUCCUCUCUCCCCCAAGUCUCGGGGGAAAGCGCAGUCUCACCACUGAAAAACAGAUCCAGCGCACGGCAAUAGACGGGGUAAUCGAGCCUCCCGGACCCCAGCCCCGGAAGUGACGCAACCGCGACGAGCCAUUUCCGGCUCAGGCGUCGGCGGCGUUUGCCGGAGGAAGGAGCCCGAGGGAGUCGCGUCGGUCUGAUUCCCUACGCCGCCGGUCCCUUCCUUCUAGUCCCCCGUCUCGCCCCGGCCUGGCCUGGCCCGGCCCGGGGCACAUCGGCCGCGGGGACCCCGGCGCCCGGAUGGAAAUCAUACGGUAUAGAGUGUUUGGGUGACAUCUACUUGGCAGAUCUUCAAGAAACUCUGAAGACAGAAGUACCUAAUGAAUUUGAGACAGAAGUAAAGUUUGGGGGGAGGGGGGAAGACAGCAACUGCUUUCCUGAUCUG